CCAUUUAUUAGUGUAGCCAAAUAAAACAAAAAACCGAAGCACAAGUGUUUGUAACCAAAAAGAGAAGUGCAGAGAUCCUAUGAUCUAGUGAGAAGGAACCAUAAGGCCUAGAGACUUGUUGAGCCAUGCCUUCCAUUUCCCAGAGGUCUUCCUGAUUGUUGUUGUUGAUGUGUCCACAGAGCCUCCAAGGUUCUGAGCUUCUAACUUCUUAGACAGAACAAAGUUCCUUGAUCCAGUUGAACCAAUCUUUCCCCAUGGAUUAAAUGCUGAAAUGAUCCAAUUUUUUUUAAAUAUAAUAAUAAAAACCAAACACAUAUGGUAGUAAAAAACUCAAAUCUCACCUUCAACAGCAUAGUAAGGAGAGUAGAGAAGGAAAAAGCUAGAGUCAGAACCGAGUAGGGGAAGCCUGCCUUCACGAGCAUAGCAUUUGAGAGCAUAAUCAAUAACAUUUGAAACAGUUUCAUCUUCUUUAACAACAAAACGAAUGGGUCCAGCACUUCCUAAGAAACUGAUGCUAACGAGGAACCUGUUAAUCUUGGACUUGUGUGUUUUCUUCUGCUUGUUGUUGUUGUUAGGAGCUAUGAUAUCCCCUGGCUACACAACAGUUAUUGUGCUUAAUAGGCAAGCAAGGAAAUAUAGCAACAGAGUCAAACAGAAAAUGAUUCAAUUAUCUCAUAAAGAAGGCAUUGAAGACUCCAUAUCUUUCUCAAAAUCAUCAUACACUUUUGUAAUAUUCAAUACAUAAACUGCAUUUGACAAACUUUUAUCCAAUAAAAGCUAAAACUCAAACUCAGACCCACCAAUAACUAAAAGAACCAAAACUCUUAACCAUGUGCCACAGAAGGGAUAUACCUCUUGGAUUUAUGCAUGUGGCAAGAACGAUCUUAAAUCCACACCAGCCUAUUCCAAUGUCUAGUGGUGCAGUGGGCUAGCUUUUCCGUCAAACACACUGAGAGACUGUUAUUUCCUUGCAUAAUUUUCUGCAAUUGAAAGUUGUUCUUAUGAGGUUAACUUCAGCUAUGAUGUCUGCAACUAAAAGAGCACAAUGUUAUUAUGAGAUGAAAAUUAGAUUAGAAAAAUGGGAAACAUGCUUAAACCAACACAGACCUGAAACUCUUUGGGCUAUGUAUCUAUACAUUCUUAAUUAUUAUUCUGAUUGUCUCCACCUAUAUCUCCAACCUAAUUUUCCAUGGAAAUUUAACCGCAAUACAACUUUACAGAAGGGUAAGGUACAAAAAAAAAUUUAAGAUAUGGAUCACUCACAACAACAACGAAUUUGUUCUUCGGGUGCUCUUUUCUUGAAAGUCUGACGGGAACAAUAAGAAAAAACAGAACAAUAAAAUCAAAAGGAAAGGAAAAACAGUCACAACAAAUAAAAGGUUUUAAACUAUUAUCAAAAUAGAAAUCAAGGUCUGGUAGUUGAAUUGACCCGAAGCUGAAGAGUUGAGCAGAGUAAGAAGCGAGACCAUUUGAUCUGAACCAGUCGGAUCUCAAACAGAGACUGGCUUUCAAAUCCGCAAGCAGGGUGAAGAAAUUAGCAGGGAUGAUAUUUGUAGUUUUCGUAGAUAGGGUGGUCUUCAUCGCUGCAACCAUGCCAAUUUAUAGGAGAGCUUUAGCCGGUUACAUAUGAAGAGUCUCAGCUGGAUUUAAUGGUACGUAGUGGGGCUAGUGGAAUUAAACAUGUUAAUGGUGGGAUUAAUGGAUCAAAUAAAUGGAAACUUAAGGCGUUUCAGGAUGUUCAUCGGGUGCGGCUUCAUCAAAUGAUUACGACGGACAUAUGACCUAAACUGAUUUUUGUUUUCUCUGACAACACAUUGGGCCUAGAAGAAAUCAUGAUAAAGCCCAAAUAAAAUAACACAAAACAAUUUUUUUUGGUUUUGUUCGUGUUUAUGGAACCCAAUUUUGAUAACAUAUAAACUUUGGACGAAGCCCACACGUUGAAGCCUAUCUGAUGUGUAAAAAAAAAGAAACAUCCUGAUUGGCUGAUUUAAUUGCUGACGUGGACAGCUUCUCUGAUGCUCAUAUAACCUUUUUAGUAUAGGUUAGAUUAUUUUAAAACAGGUUUAAUUAAGCUAUUUUGCGUUAAUUACAAAAUCAGCAUAUUAGUACAACAGCUUUUCUAUUUUGUGUAGAUUUGUUUCAUGUUGCAACAUGCGGCUAUACUAGCUCAAUUGUCCAAAUAGUUAGAUUAGUAUUCGGAUAAAACACUUUAAAAUCAGUUUUUGUGCUUAUAUGAAUUAUUACUGUACAAAAAGGUUUGCAAUUUAAGCAAAAUAAUUAGCAACAUCCAAAUAUAUUUGUGAAAUCACCUGCUAUAGUUAAAUAAAAAGAAAUACGAUCUCAAUAAUUAGUACAAUCAUGUACAAACAUGCAGCAUGCAGCACAGCUAGUUUCGAAUAAAAAAAAUUUAGGAAAUGAAUUAUAGUUGAAUGGAGAAAUGAUCAGUUUUUAGUUAUGGUAAUAAUACAAGAAUUAAUUUUGUCCUAAUCAGAACCUUAUCUAUACCCUUUGUUUAGUUGGGCUUCGAUGGAGUUGAAAAUCAAUAUUGUGGUCCAAGUAAUUAAUCCACAAAAUAACAAUCGGGUUAAGGAUUCGGAUUAUCCAAUUCGUCGAUCAGAAUCACACUUGACUGUUACCCGCCUCGAACGACGGCGACGAAAGAGGACAGAGACUCCUCGUCUCUUCGACGGAGAUAAUUUAACUCAGGAUCGAUCGCCUCGUUCGUUCGUUGAUCGUAUUCUCAAAGUCGACUCGCGUCUACUCUCUAAUUUCACAAUUCCAUCUCGGCUGAAUGUAAGCGAAAAGCUUUGGAUUCUCUGAUUCCGUGUCCGUGUUAUGGACGCUCCUCCCAAUCCCAAGCGACCUUGCCAUGACCCUUCUUCGGUCAAAGAUCCCAGCUCCCUCCAUCUCGCUCCAGGUUUCAACCAAAGCAACGUGGAUAUGACCAUCUCCUCUUUCCUUUCCUUGUCGGACUUGCCUUUGUUCUCCUCCUCGCCACUCUCCAUCGGCUGCUCUUUUGAUCGAGUGCUUGAUAAAGUUGUUGAUGCCUCCGAUUAUGAUCGUUCCACAACUCUAUAUCCUGGCCUCAUUUACUUUUCAUGAGUGAUGACGAUGUCUCAUGUAAGCAAUGCAUAAUUACCUUUAGACUCAAAGAUGGGCUCUCUUUUUACGUUUAUAUUCCACUUGCAUUGCCAUAGCACCACCCUCACUCCAUUAGGAGCUAUGAUAUCCCCUGGCUACACAAUAGUUAUUGUGCUUAAUAGGCAAGCAAGGAAAUAUAGCAACAGAGUCAAACAGAAAAUGAUUCAAUUAUCUCAUAAAGAAGGCAUUGAAGACUCCAUAUCUUUCUCAAAAUCAUCAUACACUUUUGUAAUAUUCAAUACAUAAACUGCAUUUGACAAACUUUUAUCCAAUAAAAGCUAAAACUCAAACUCAGACCCACCAAUAACUAAAAGAACCAAAACUCUUAACCAUGUGCCACAGAAGGGAUAUACCUCUUGGAUUUAUGCAUGUGGCAAGAACGAUCUUAAAUCCACACCAGCCUAUUCCAAUGUCUAGUGGUGCAGUGGGCUAGCUUUUCCGUCAAACACACUGAGAGACUGUUAUUUCCUUGCAUAAUUUUCUGCAAUUGAAAGUUGUUCUUAUGAGGUUAACUUCAGCUAUGAUGUCUGCAACUAAAAGAGCACAAUGUUAUUAUGAGAUGAAAAUUAGAUUAGAAAAAUGGGAAACAUGCUUAAACCAACACAGACCUGAAACUCUUUGGGCUAUGUAUCUAUACAUUCUUAAUUAUUAUUCUGAUUGUCUCCACCUAUAUCUCCAACCUAAUUUUCCAUGGAAAUUUAACCGCAAUACAACUUUACAGAAGGGUAAGGUACAAAAAAAAAUUUAAGAUAUGGAUCACUCACAACAACAACGAAUUUGUUCUUCGGGUGCUCUUUUCUUGAAAGUCUGACGGGAACAAUAAGAAAAAACAGAACAAUAAAAUCAAAAGGAAAGGAAAAACAGUCACAACAAAUAAAAGGUUUUAAACUAUUAUCAAAAUAGAAAUCAAGGUCUGGUAGUUGAAUUGACCCGAAGCUGAAGAGUUGAGCAGAGUAAGAAGCGAGACCAUUUGAUCUGAACCAGUCGGAUCUCAAACAGAGACUGGCUUUCAAAUCCGCAAGCAGGGUGAAGAAAUUAGCAGGGAUGAUAUUUGUAGUUUUCGUAGAUAGGGUGGUCUUCAUCGCUGCAACCAUGCCAAUUUAUAGGAGAGCUUUAGCCGGUUACAUAUGAAGAGUCUCAGCUGGAUUUAAUGGUACGUAGUGGGGCUAGUGGAAUUAAACAUGUUAAUGGUGGGAUUAAUGGAUCAAAUAAAUGGAAACUUAAGGCGUUUCAGGAUGUUCAUCGGGUGCGGCUUCAUCAAAUGAUUACGACGGACAUAUGACCUAAACUGAUUUUUGUUUUCUCUGACAACACAUUGGGCCUAGAAGAAAUCAUGAUAAAGCCCAAAUAAAAUAACACAAAACAAUUUUUUUUGGUUUUGUUCGUGUUUAUGGAACCCAAUUGUAAUAACAUAUAAACUUUGGACGAAGCCCACACGUUGAAGCCUAUCUGAUGUGUUAAAAAAAAAAAUAUGAUUGGUUGAUUAUUUUAUAAUACGUGGCAUAGCUACAUGAUGAGAAUAUCUUACUUUUAGUAUAGUAUAGAUUGUUAAUCAGAAUCUCUCUUCCCUUCUCCACGAACUCACGACUCAGAUCGAACGAUUCUCCAAGAAAAGAUCGCAGAGAAUGGAAGAUCUUCCUCUUCCCGGCGGCUGUAAAAACAUGGAGGAGUUCUCCGCAUACGUAAGAUUUUUCAUCAAUCCAAGAACCAAACGUACGAGUCACGAAACCUUUUCACUAUAAUCACUAGUCCCUCUCUUUCUCUGUUUCAGAUUCAUCGCAGGAUCAACGAAUGCAUGAGAGACUAUAAGAGCAAGGAAGAAACUAUACAACAUCUAAUGGAUCAGUUUCAAAUCCCACAUGUCAUGACCAGCAUAGGUACGUACACGUCGACUCCUUUUGCUUUUGCACCGUAUCAUCAUCAAUGUGUCUUACGGCAAAACGUUUGAGUAACUCGAAAUCUUUUAUUUUGGUAGUUUGGGAUCUUCUUGAAGCAAAGUAUCCAGAGAAUUUCAGAUCCCACUAUGAAUCUUGCGAGACUUAUCAGAAGAUCCUUGAAGCUUCAAGAAUCCAGAGCUACCAACUUAUACCGAGGUUUUUCAGGGAUAGAAGAGAGAUAGAUCAACAACGUCGCUCUAAUAUCCAGAGAAAUGAUGAUGAUGCAACAUCACAAGCACCUCAGUGUUCUAAUGGUGGUGAUGCCUUAGUCCCUAGAGGUUUUAAGAGCGUGCAGGAGUUCUCAUAUUACGUAAGAUUCCAUCAGUUCAUCAAUCAGUUAGAAGUUACAUUAUAAUCUCUUGAUAUCUGCUCUGUUUCAGGUUCAUGGAAGGAUCAUGAAGUGUAUGCGUAAUUACAAGAGCAAGGAAGAAACUGUAAAACAUCUAUUGGAUCAGUAUCGGAUCGCACCUGAAUCGACCAACGCAGGUAAUUAAGUAGAUUUUUUUUUUUUAACAGAACCAUUAACGGGUCUUGAGGCAAAACGUUUGAGUAAUUUGAAAUAUAAAAUAUCUUUUUUGUAGUUUGGGAUCGUCUUGAACAAGGUUAUCAAGAUAACUUCAGAUCGUACUACGAAGCUUGCGAGAAGAAUCGGAAGUUACGUGAACAAGAAGCACCAAGUAAGCACAUAGAAACCUAGACAAGCUCUAGUUUCCUUGUCAUGCAAGACAUUAUCUGAUUAAAAAUUUCUUUUUUCUUUGUUCGUUUUGUCUUGGGACUGAUGAAGAAGAAACGGCUAAUGCUCAGAUCACAGCAGAAACUAGAUCUUGUAAGUCUUCUAAGAGAGAGAGAGGUAAACAGAAGAAGGCAGCUUCGACAUCAGUGGCCAGUAAGACACUCAUACUGAGGAGCUUAAAUGAUAUAAAUGUGAAAAAGCGAGAGCAACAAUGUACAUUUCCUCCUGAUCAAAGCUGUAUUAAACUUAUCUUUUUUCUUCUCAUUGUGUGCUCCUAAAAGUUGAAGAAUGACAUGGUCUUUGCUUCUUUUAGUAAAGGAGACUGGUCCUGCAUCACGAGUCUCUCGUUUGGGACCAGAUGCUAAUGGAGCGAUGCACAUGAAUUUGGAGGACCUUCCUCUUAUGCUGAAUCGCUCAAGAGACGGUGCAUAGAUAAGGAGCAAGUGAGAGGUGACAACGAAGAAGCAUGAUCAGAAUCAAUAACGGCUAGAAAACAUAUUAGAUGAUCGAGAAAGAUAUGAGAUUCUCACAUUAGACAUAUGUUUCUUUGAUGCUUUCUUUUUAUCAUAUAGCUAAACAGUUAUUUCAGUCUAUCAAAUCUCAAUCCAUGUUAUUGUGUUGCAAAAUACAUCAGAACAUGUUAAAGAACAUAUAUUCAUUCUAUCAAACCCCAUUCCAUUUAUUAGUGUAGCCAAAUAAAACAAAAAACCGAAGCACAAGUGUUUGUAACCAAAAAGAGAAGUGCAGAGAUCCUAUGAUCUAGUGAGAAGGAACCAUAAGGCCUAGAGACUUGUUGAGCCAUGCCUUCCAUUUCCCAGAGGUCUUCCUGAUUGUUGUUGUUGAUGUGUCCACAGAGCCUCCAAGGUUCUGAGCUUCUAACUUCUUAGACAGAACAAAGUUCCUUGAUCCAGUUGAACCAAUCUUUCCCCAUGGAUUAAAUG
rnacentral:lncRNA from 1 species